rnacentral:rRNA from 1 species
CGGAGAAAGAGCUGAGAAAUGGCUACCACAUCCAAGGAAGGCAAGCAGGCGCGUAAAUUACCCAAUCCUGACACAGGGAGGUAGUGACAAUAAAUAACAAUGCCGGGCCUUUAUAGGUCUGGCAAUUGGAAUGAGAACAAUUUAAAUCCCUUAUCGAGGAUCAAUUGGAGGGCAAGUCUGGUGCCAGCAGCCGCGGUAAUUCCAGCUCCAAUAGCGUAUAUUAAAGWUGUUGCAGUUAAAAAGCUCSUAGUUGGAUUUGUGGCGUGCGGYGGGCUCCKGGCACUUGUUGUCUGAGCAGUUCGCCGCUGCCAUCCUUGGGUGGAACCUGYGUGGCAUUAUGUUGUCGUGCAGGGGAUGCCCAUCGUUUACUGNGAAAAAAUUAUAGUGUUSAAAGCAGGCUUAUGCCGCYGAAUAUAUUAUCAUGGARUAAUGAGAUA